rnacentral:rRNA from 1 species
UGGGGAAUUUUGGACAAUGGGCGAAAGCCUGAUCCAGCAAUGCCGCGUGUGUGAAGAAGGCCUUCGGGUUGUAAAGCACUUUUAUCAGGAGCGAAACGCUGUCGGCUAAUACCCGGCGGAACUGACGGUACCUGAGGAAUAAGCACCGGCUAACUUCGUGCCAGCAGUCGCGGUAAUACGAAGGGUGCAAGCGUUAAUCGGAAUUACUGGGCGUAAAGCGUGCGUAGGCGGUUUCUUAAGUCUGCUGUGAAAUCCCCGGGCUCAACCUGGGAAUGGCAGUGGAUACUGGGAGGCUAGAGUGUGUCAGAGGGUGGUGGAAUUCCCGGUGUAGCGGUGAAAUGCGUAGAGAUCGGGAGGAACAUCAGUGGCGAAGGCGGCCACCUGGGACAACACUGACGCUGAGGCACGAAAGCGUGGGGAGCAAACAGGAUUAGAUACCCUGGUAGUCCACGCCCUAAACGAUGCGAACUGGAUGUUGGUCUCAACUCGGAGAUCAGUGUCGAAGCUAACGCGUUAAGUUCGCCGCCUGGGGGAGUACGGUCGCAAGACUGAAACUCAAAUGAAUUGACGGGGUCAUAGCUGUUUCCUG